rnacentral:tRNA from 1 species
UAUUACGGAGACUACACUGUUUGUUUUAUACUUUGUUCAGUUUUGAGAGGUCUACUCUCAAAAAUAAAUCGGGGCCUUAGCUCAGCUGGGAGAGCGCCUGCUUUGCACGCAGGAGGUCAGCGGUUCGAUCCCGCUAGGCUCCAUUAACAACAUUAGUUGUUAAAACAUUUUGUUCAUUGAAAACUGGAUAUUUGAAGUAAAUUAGUAAUACAAACCGAGAACACCGCGUUGAAUGAGUUUUUUAAUAAGUUCAAUUGCUUAUUUUCUUGAUCGGACUUCUAUCGCUAGAAGAAAGAUCAAAACCCAACCGUAAGGUUGAUA